rnacentral:rRNA from 1 species
AACGAACGCUGGCGGCAGGCUUAACACAUGCAAGUCGAACGCCCCGCAAGGGGAGUGGCAGACGGGUGAGUAACGCGUGGGAAUCUACCCAUCUCUGCGGAAUAGCUCCGGGAAACUGGAAUUGAUACCGCAUACGCCCUACGGGGGAAAGAUUUAUCGGGGAUGGAUGAGCCCGCGUUGGAUUAGCUAGUUGGUGGGGUAAAGGCCUACCAAGGCGACGAUCCAUAGCUGGUCUGAGAGGAUGAUCAGCCACAUUGGGACUGAGACACGGCCCAAACUCCUACGGGAGGCAGCAGUGGGGAAUAUUGGACAAUGGGCGCAAGCUUGAUCCAGCCAUGCCGCGUGAGUGAUGAAGGCCUUAGGGUUGUAAAGCUCUUUCACCGGUGAAGAUAAUGACGGUAACCGGAGAAGAAGCCCCGGCUAACUUCGUGCCAGCAGCCGCAGUAA